rnacentral:rRNA from 1 species
GAGUUUGAUCAUGGCUCAGGACGAACGCUGGCGGCGUGCUUAACACAUGCAAGUCGAGCGGAAAGGCUUCCUUCGGGAAGUACUCGAGCGGCGAACGGGUGAGUAACACGUGGAUAAUCAACCUCUUGCUCUGGAAUACCCCGGGGAAACUCGGAUCAAUGCCAGAUAAAGUGCGGUGCUGUCGGGCGCCGUACCAAAGAUAGCUUCGGCCUUCGGCGAGAGACGAGUCCGCGGCCCAUUAGCUAGUUGGCGGGGUAAAGGCCCACCAAGGCUACGAUGGGUAGCUGGUCUGAGAGGAUGAUCAGCCACACUGGGACUGAGACACGGCCCAGACUCCUACGGGAGGCAGCAGUGGGGAAUCUUGCGCAAUGGGCGGAAGCCUGACGCAGCAACGCCGCGUGCGGGAGGAAGGCCUCGG